rnacentral:rRNA from 1 species
UUUCAACAUUGAAGUGAGUGUGAUCUGGUGAGUAACACGUGGUAAAUCUGCCCAGAAGCAGGGGAUAACACUUGGAAACAGGUGCUAAUACCGUAUAACAACAAAAUCCGCAUGGAUUUUGUUUGAAAGGUGGCUUCGGCUAUCACUUCUGGAUGAUCCCGCGGCGUAUUAGUUAGUUGGUGAGGUAAAGGCCCACCAAGACGAUGAUACGUAGCCGACCUGAGAGGGUAAUCGGCCACAUUGGGACUGAGACACGGCCCAAACUCCUACGGGAGGCAGCAGUAGGGAAUCUUCCACAAUGGACGAAAGUCUGAUGGAGCAAUGCCGCGUGAGUGAAGAAGGGUUUCGGCUCGUAAAACUCUGUUGUUAAAGAAGAACACCUUUGAGAGUAACUGUUCAAGGGUUGACGGUAUUUAACCAGAAAGCCACGGCUAACUACGUGCCAGCAGCCGCGGUAAUACGUAGGUGGCAAGCGUUGUCCGGAUUUAUUGGGCGUAAAGCGAGCGCAGGCGGUUUUUUAAGUCUGAUGUGAAAGCCUUCGGCUUAACCGGAGAAGUGCAUCGGAAACUGGGAGACUUGAGUGCAGAAGAGGACAGUGGAACUCCAUGUGUAGCGGUGGAAUGCGUAGAUAUAUGGAAGAACACCAGUGGCGAAGGCGGCUGUCUAGUCUGUAACUGACGCUGAGGCUCGAAAGCAUGGG